CCUACGGGAGGCAGCAGUGAGGAAUAUUCGUCAAUGGGCGCAAGCCUGAACGAGCGAUGCCGCGUGAGUGAAGAAGGCCUUCGGGUCGUAAAGCUCUGUUGCGGGGGAAAAAAGGCAGCAUCAGGAAAUGGGUGCUGACUGAUGGUGCCCCGCCAGAAAGUCACGGCUAACUACGUGCCAGCAGCCGCGGUAAUACGUAGGUGGCGAGCGUUAUCCGGAAGGAUUGGGCGUAAAGGGUGCGCAGGCGGUCCUGCAAGUCUGGAGUGAAACGCAUGAGCUCAACUCAUGCAUGGCUUUGGAAACUGGAGGACUGGAGAGCAGGAGAGGGCGGUGGAACUCCAUGUGUAGCGGUAAAAUGCGUAGAUAUAUGGAAGAACACCAGUGGCGAAGGCGGCCGCCUGGCCUGUUGCUGACGCUGAGGCACGAAAGCGUGGGGAGCAAAUAGGAUUAGAUACCCUGGUAGUC
rnacentral:rRNA from 1 species